rnacentral:rRNA from 1 species
AAAUUGAAGAGUUUGAUCAUGGCUCAGAUUGAACGCUGGCGGCAGGCCUAACACAUGCAAGUCGAGCGGUAGCACAGAGAGCUUGCUCUCGGGUGACGAGCGGCGGACGGGUGAGUAAUGUCUGGGAAACUGCCUGAUGGAGGGGGAUAACUACUGGAAACGGUAGCUAAUACCGCAUAACGUCGCAAGACCAAAGUGGGGGACCUUAGGGCCUCAUGCCAUCAGAUGUGCCCAGAUGGGAUUAGCUAGUAGGUGGGGUAACGGCUCACCUAGGCGACGAUCCCUAGCUGGUCUGAGAGGAUGACCAGCCACACUGGAACUGAGACACGGUCCAGACUCCUACGGGAGGCAGCAGUGGGGAAUAUUGCACAAUGGGCGCAAGCCUGAUGCAGCCAUGCCGCGUGUGUGAAGAAGGCCUUCGGGUUGUAAAGCACUUUCAGCGGGGAGGAAGGCGAUAAGGUUAAUAACCUUG